rnacentral:miRNA from 1 species
GAAAAAAUAUAUGUGUGUGUGUGUAUAUAUAGAUACAUAUAUACAUACAGACAUACAUACAUAUAUAUGUGUGUAUAUAUACACACACACAUAUGUACACAUAUAUAGACAUA